AGGGGUAACGUGAGUGCUUGCACUUGACGACGACCGGCGCACGGGUGCGUAACGCGUAUAGAACCUACCUUGUAGUAAGGGAUAGCCCAGAGAAAUUUGGAUUAAUACCUUAUAGUAUGAUAAGAUGGCAUCAUUUAAUCAUUAAAGAUUUAUUGCUAUAAGAUGGCUAUGCGUUCUAUUAGCUAGUUGGUAUGGUAACGGCAUACCAAGGCAACGAUAGAUAGGGGUCCUGAGAGGGAGAUCCCCCACACUGGUACUGAGACACGGACCAGACUCCUACGGGAGGCAGCAGUGAGGAAUAUUGGACAAUGGAGGCAACUCUGAUCCAGCCAUGCCGCGUGUAGGAAGACUGCCCUAUGGGUUGUAAACUACUUUUAUAGAGGAAGAAACAGUUCCACGUGUGGAACUCUGACGGUACUCUACGAAUAAGGAUCGGCUAACUCCGUGCCAGCAGCCGCGGUAAUACGGAGGAUCCAAGCGUUAUCCGGAAUCAUUGGGUUUAAAGGGUCCGUAGGCGGGUCUGUAAGUCAGUGGUGAAAGUUUUCGGCUCAACCGGAAAAUUGCCAUUGAUACUGCAGGUCUUGAAUCAUUAUGAAGUGGUUAGAAUAAGUAGUGUAGCGGUGAAAUGCAUAGAUAUUACUUAGAAUACCGAUUGCGAAGGCAGAUCACUAAUAAUGUAUUGACGCUAAGGGACGAAAGCGUGGGUAGCGAACAGGAUUAGAUACCCUGGUAGUCCACGCCGUAAACGAUGGUUACUAGCUGUUCGGACUUCGGUCUGAGUGGCUAAGCGAAAGUGAUAAGUAACCCACCUGGGGAGUACGUUCGCAAGAAUGAAACUCAAAGGAAUUGACGGGGGCCCGCACAAGCGGUGGAGCAUG
rnacentral:rRNA from 1 species